GCUGGUGUGACUUAGUGGUCAGAGUGUCAGACUAAGAACUGGACGGCCAGGGUUUGAACCCCCAGCUCGCUGGCU